GACCUUGAAUAUUUCCCAUGCCUCAGCAGAAUAGGUGGAGGCCUGGGACAUAUGGUGCUAAGCACAAAGCUGAGGAAAUCCAGACAAGUGCUUCUUUCCCUUAGUGAGGGCUUGUCUAACCCUUCACAAACAACU